CCCCGCCGCCGCAGCCAAGAUCCAGCACCCCCGCCUGCAGAUCUAGCCCCUGCGCAAUUGAAUCGAGCACCUGCGCACCUCGGCGGUCAUGGACGACUACAACGCCGGCGGGUACGGCGAGGGGGACGACUACGACGCUGAAGGCUACGGCAACGACGACCUUUUCGGCGCCGGCGUUGGAACCAGGGACUUCCUGUCCAUGGGGUCGGAGUCCUCAGCACAAGGUGGGUACGACGGCUUCACGGCCGGCACGUACUCCAACACCGGAUCUAGCAGCCUACGCCCGAGCCGCCUCGACUUCGACGGUCUCGACCUCAACUCCGAGCACGGGUGGUCGGAGGUGCAAGACCUCCUCCGAGGCGAUGAAGUCCAAGGAAGUGACCUGCCUCCUCCUAUUCGCGUUCCUCCACGGGGCCAGAACCGAACCCUCGGCCUGCGCGGGCCACGCAGUGGUCGAGGAGGAGGCCGAACCACGGCCGCCGGUGGCCGCAGAUCUGGCAUCGGUGGAGGCACUGCACCUGCGUCUGCACAAGGUGGCCGGUCUGCACCCUUUGGGCGCGCAGACCUGGCUGCAAGGUGUCCUCCGGCUGGACCUGAAACGGCGGCAGCCGACCAAGCCACCAUAGGCGGUGCCCGUCGUCGUCGUCGUGCCGUACAGGUAAGUUCCCCCUUGUCUUCAGAAUGUCGGUUCUGUUCUAGAUCUUCAUGGUGUAUCAUUAGUCCGGAUUGUUGACUGCAUUACCUUGUGCGUCACUUCGUACAUUCCGUGCUCAUGUUACGCUUCGUUUAGGCCGACACCAACAGGGCAGUCUGGACUCCAAAACAUACCCUUGUCUUUUGCCGUAUUUACUGCAGCCAAAUCGAUAAGGGAAACUGCGUGAAGGGUGUGAUGAACAAGUCUGGGUGGAAAGAGAUCAAAUCCAGAUUCUAUGCAGCCACUGGCUUUAUGCAUUAUAGAGAGCAGUUUGGGAACAAAUUUAGGCAGCUCAAGGGUUUGUGGCAGUUCAUACAGCAACUGCGGACUGAUUCAGGGCUUGGCCGUCGACCAGAUGGUUCUGUUGUUGCUAUGGAAGCUUGGUGGAAAUCUAACACAAUGGGGCAUCCUGAGUGGAAAAACUGCAGACCGGUUGGCAUAUUUAUCUAGAUGAAUUGGACCGCAUGUUCAUGGGUGUUGCAGUUGAUGGUUCCACUUCCUAUAUUCCUGGAGAUGAGAACCCCCUGGACGAAAUCCCAAGUGAUGAAGAAGAAGAUUCAGAAGAAGAUCAUGACCUGCAGACCCCCCACAGCAUUGGAAGCAAGAGGACCAGCAACAGCUCCCAAAGCCUACGCAGUACUGCAAGCAGCUCCAACAAGAAGAUGAAGAGCCCAGCAGUCAGAGCCAUGGUGUCCCAAAUGCAGCUGGCUGCACAACGACAUACAAACACAGGAAUGCAGCCAUGGAGGGCUUCAUCUCCCAAAGGCAAGAAGAGAAGCAGGCCGAGGAAUCAAAGAUGGAGAAACUUCUUGACAACGUCAUGGAUGCGGCCAGGGAUUGUGGUGUCACCGACAACAAUGCGCAGCUGUGGGUUGGUGUGCUGAAAAUUGCAAAGGACAAGGCUGCAGCUUACUUUUUCCCGCGCUCCCUCCCCCCUGGAAGGAAGGCUCUUAUUGAGCACUACUCUAGGGUCGUUGACUAGACCCUUCUAUCCUUGCAUUGCAGCUAAUAUUAGUUCAGUUAGUGCUGUUAGUGUGUUAACCAAUGUGUGGUCUGUCUGUGUUUUCAAGUACGUGGCGUAUGUGAGUUGACUUGAACAAGUAAUUUCCAUGACACUUGUCUAUUCCGUGAUAUUUAUGUGGAUGUUGUUUAUGUGGUCGGUUUUAUGUGCAUGGCGAGUAUUUUAAUGCUGUUUAUGUCGAUGUUAUUUAUGUGGACGAUGUGUUCUUUAUCCUGACAUUGCAGCACUUCAUGUGUUCUUUAUCUUUAUCUUGUAUACUGAUUAUUUGCCAAUGUUUCUUUAUUACAGGACGGGGUUCAUGCUUCAGACAUGGGAAAUGAAGCUGCUGAUUCUGAUGAGGAGUUUGACAACUUUAUGCUGACACAAUUCAUGGAUGAUUCUGCAGACAUGGGUUUCACUUACGGUCUUUGGUGCUGCAGGCAAGUACUAUCUGGUGGACUUGGGGUACCCAAACCGACCGGGUUACCUGGCUCCGUACAAGGGGAGCAAGUACCAUCUCCAAGAGUUUCAAAACGCCAACGAACCACAAGGUAAAGAGGAGAUAUUCAACUAUGCACAUUCGUCUCUUAGAAAUGUCAUAGAAAGAUCCUUUGGAGUGUUAAAACAAAAGUGGCGCAUACUGACCAAAAUACCCUGUUAUCCGACACAAACACAAACACAUAUUAUUGUUGCGUGCAUGGCUCUACAUAAUUUUAUCAGGCGGACUGGGUUAAGGGAUAAAGAUUUUAGGCGUUGUGAUCGUGAUGAGAACUAUGUGCCUGAUGAAGCAUAUGAAGAUCAGCCUGAAUGCGAGCCUGCCCCAAGUUAUUUGGAAUGUGCUCACAUGAAUGCGUUUCGUGAUUCAGUUGCGCUUGAUAUGUUGAUUCGAGGUUGAGCUGUGUUUAUGUAACGGGACUUUUAGUUUCUGUUGUAAUUUGUGAGGACUUGUAAUUUUUGAGAGUAUCUACUGUUCAGGUAGGCGUUUUGUCAUGUAUGUGUAUUUGUGUCUCGUUUCUGUUCAAGUUGAAGCUGCCCCUGGCGGUGUUUAGUUCAAGUUCAAGUUUGAACACACAGACACACAGUGGUCAGGGGCACCAGCAUGCGUCGCAUGCAGUGCCCGCAUGCAGCCAUGCAGCACUUAUGAUGAAGCAUUUAUUGACAUCGUACUGUAGACUAGAAUGCAAAAUGAGCCAUCCAACUAAACGCCUGUAAACACAAAAAGAUGUAAAGUUUUACAUCCAACUUUUGGCAUUUACAGGUUUUUGCAAAAUUUUGGAUCUAAACACACCCUUGGUUGAGAAUGCAUGUAUUGAGUAUUAAAUGAAGUUUAUUUGUGAAAUUUUUUAAUGGAUUGGUGUAAUUUUUCGAGACAAAUCUAAUGACAGUAAUGCAACAGUAACUAUCUUCUAAUCGUACGGUUAAUGGCCAUUGGUCUCGUGAAUUUACUAGGGGUUCUGUAGGUGAUUUUGUAGUUGAUUAUAUUUUAUUUAAUACUCUAAAUUAAUGGUUAAAGGUGUAAAAAGUUUUCGUGAAAUUUUUUUCAGUACAAAUCAAACACAGCCCAGAGUCGUUCGUCCUUCGCCGAUUGCUUGCUCUGCUGCCGAUCCUGAUUUGUGCGUGAUGAGUGAUGAUGCUUGAUUUCUGCUCACAAAUCCCUGUCCUCUGCUCGGUCGGAGACUUGAUAAUUCAGCGGCGGAUUUGGGGACACUCUGUUCCGCCUGUUGUGCAUGUGGAAAUGGAUGAGGAAUGGAGGUUCAGAAGGACAGGCCUGGAGUGGGCGAGAGUGGUUUUCCCAAAUGUGCCGGCCCGGGCAGGCAAACUCUCAACCGCUGAUCGAGCUACUGGAUUCGUGCACAAAGAUUCCCUGUCAUUAGUUGGUCCCAACUUUGGCAGGCGCCACAGCUUGUUUCUGCCCCGCCAUGGUUGGGUAGGCAAGUUUGUAUGAGUUGGACGAGGCACGUUUUUAGGCAAGAUUCCUUGGGACCACUUGCAGGCAUUGGAUUCGUAUUUGUUCUUUAUGGUGUGCUGAGAUGGGCUAGUUCUUCCUCCUCACGAGCUCUACAAUGGCCAACCCGUGCGGUUCCUAGAUCCGCUUUUUCCGGAAGUUGUAGAUCAGCUAAAAUGAAUGGGAGAGAGGACCAAGAUCAGGCUAGGAAGUGGCAGAGCAAUGCGGUUCAGCAUCAUCAUCCCAUUGCGAGUUCGAAACAAGCUUCAGGAACUCUAGAGGAACUGAAUCAUCAGAUUUUGGUGCAAGGCAGGUUGAAUCUGUGCCGGCUGGCGUUGCGAUGGAUCGAGAAGGCAAUGAUUCAUUUAAUCUAACAAUUUUAUCUUCUGAAAAUGAAGUUCAACCAUGGCCUAAGGGAAAGAAGCUACCUAAAGAUGCACCGGAUGGGUGCACACGAAGCUUAAUGGGUGCAAUUGAGAAGGCGCUACGGAAUGCAUCUAACAGAAAGGGUAGAUUUAUAUUCGAGCCCACACCUGGAAUGACAUUUGAUUGUGUGAGUGAAACACAAGAGUUCUACAACAUGUACUCUUGGGAGGUCGGCUUUGGAACAAAGAAAGGAGACAAAUAUGGCAAAACAAUGCAAGAAUUUCAAUGCCAGUGCCAUGGUUCAGACAAUAUAUUAGAGGAAACACCUGACAUGUGGGGGCCACGGCCAGUGAUUUCUGCCUGAGACGCGGGGCAACAAAUGGAGUCCGAGGCAAGCAGUGAGGCAUCCGCACGAAUCUCGAGAACAAGAUCCUAAGGCAGAGCAUGUGCCUUCCCGGGCCGGCACCGCCAGAAUACAUUCACCCGGAGUGGGCGGCUGGGCGCGGCCACCUGCAAAGCCAACGUCCCACGCGCAACGGCGUCGCUCUGGGCAUUUCGUCGAGCAGGCGGCGGCCGUUGGCGGUGAACGCGCGCGCGGGACGGGAGGUGCAACAGAGAGAGGAAGAGAGGAGGCGACGGUGCGACCGGCUUUCUGCUUACACACCACUGGCUGGGUGUCCAGUCCGUCGGCGGCGUCGGAAGGGAAUGGGGCCACGUCCCACGGACAUCUGAAACGAGACGUUAAUUUGAAAAAAACAUGGUCGAAAAUACAGGUUAUUAUGUCAAAAUUUGAAUUGUAUAGAAUAAUAGAACAACCACGAUCCGUGGUAGAAGUUUUAUGCAAAUAUUUCGAUCACGGACGAUAAUCGCAAUCUGAAAUGUGAUAGCUUAUGUAAAUAUUUGGAUCGUGGUGAAUAAAGCAGAUCUUAUGUAAACUUUGGAUCA